rnacentral:lncRNA from 1 species
UGGUUUUCCUCUUCAUCAAUUUGGACUGCUACACAAAAAAUGCCAUAGACUAUGUGGCUUAUACACAACAGAAAUUUAUUGAUCGCAGUUCUGGAGCCUGGGAAGUCCAAGAUCAGGGCACUAGCAGAUUCCAUGUCUCGUGAAGGCCUGUGUCCUCAUAGACAGCUAUCUUCUCACUAUAACCUCACAUGGCAGAAGGGUGAAUGAGCUCCUUUGGCUGCUUUAUAAGAGCAGUAAUGGCCUAAUCACCCCCCAAAAACCGUACUCCUAAUACCAUCACCUUGGACGUUAGGAUUUUCACAUAUGCAUUUUGGCGUAAACAAACCUUUAGACCACGGCAGCUGGGUAGAUUAAUUUUAUUAAUCACAAAUCUGUUUUGACUUGAAAAUUUAAAGCAUUUUACUAUUUGUAAUUACUGAUCUGUCAUGAGCAUACUGUGUUACUUUCCUAAUACCUAGUUCUCCAUUCUUCAUAAGAAGUAAGCACAAUUCUUGCAGAUGUGUAGAUAUCUUCCCUCCAAUUACAUACAACUUAAACUGUCUUCUUUUUUUUUUUUUUUUUUUUUGAGAUGCAGUCUUGCUCUGUCACCCAGGCUGGAGUGCAGUGGUGCAAUCUCAGCUCACUCCAAGCUCAGUCUCCCUGGUUCAUGCCAUUCUUCUGCCUCAGCCUCCUGAGUAGCUGGGACUACAGGCACCUGCCACCACACCUGGCUAAUUUUUUUUUUUUUUUUUUUUUAAAGUAGAGACAGGGUUUCACCGUGUUAGCCAGGAUGGUUUCGAUCUCCUGACCUCGUGAUCCACCCGCCUCAGCCUCCCAAAGUGCUGGGAUUACAGGCGUGAGCCACAGCGCCCGGC